GACGAACGCUGGCGGCGUGCUUAACACAUGCAAGUCGAACGGUGAUGCUCCAGCUUGCUGGAGUGGAUCAGUGGCGAACGGGUGAGUAACACGUGAGCAACCUGCCCCAGACUCUGGAAUAAGCGCUGGAAACGGCGUCUAAUACUGGAUACGAAACUGGCCCGCAUGGGCAUGGUUUGGAAAGUUUUUCGGUUUGGGAUGGGCUCGCGGCCUAUCAGCUUGUUGGUGAGGUAAUGGCUCACCAAGGCGACGACGGGUAGCCGGCCUGAGAGGGCGACCGGCCACACUGGGACUGAGACACGGCCCAGACUCCUACGGGAGGCAGCAGUGGGGAAUAGUGCACAAUGGGCGAAAGCCUGAUGCAGCGACGCCGCGUGAGGGAUGACGGCCUUCGGGUUGUAAACCUCUUUCAGCAGGGAAGAAGCGAAAGUGACGGUACCUGCAGAAGAAGCACCGGCUAACUACGUG
rnacentral:rRNA from 1 species